rnacentral:lncRNA from 1 species
CUGACAGAGGAGAAGCGGGUGAUGGAGGAGGAGGAGCUCAGAGCCAGUGAGCUUUACAUCCAGAGGCUGUUGGCUGAGGAGCAGCAGCUGCUGCAGGACGAGAGCAGGAGGCGAGAAGAGGACGAGCGAGUGGCCCGGUUGCUGAGCAACCAGCUGAACUCUGUUGCGGGUCCCCAGGAAGUGACUCCAGCCCAGAGGAAGAAGGAGGCCGUCUCCGGAUUCAUUGACAGGUUCUUUUGUCCUCGUCCGACUAAAACAUCACCGUCAGACUGUAGCCCCGCCUCCAGCUCAGCCUCCAGCAUCACUGAUAACAAGAAUGUGGUCGUCAUGGAGGCGCGUCCGCACGUCCACCAGAGUCAGCUGAGCGCAGAUGGACGAACUCUUGUGACUAAAAGGAAGAGUUCAGAGCCGAGGACGACGACGGAGGAGGAGGAGGAGGUAAAGAUCGGCAAACGAUCUUGCCCCUCCUCGUCCUCUCUGGAGGCGGAGCUCUUGUCCCAACAUGGGGUGGCCCAGUGGGAGGCGGAGCUCUUGUCCCGACAGGGGGCGCCCCAGUGGGAGGUGGAGCUGCUGAGCAGACGACGGCAGGAGGAUGACGACCGACAACUCGCUCUGCUGCUGCAGAAGGAGCUCGACCACGAAGAGAAACAAAGAUCCACCGACAGACGCAAAGGAUCUGUAGACGCUUAUCUGCUCCGGCAGAACAAAGGAGGGAAGGUGGAGGUCAACACCGACACUCCCAGCCCUGCCUCCUCCCCCAGCCCCGCUUCCUCCUCACCUGCGACACAGUCCUCCUCUAGCAGAGGACGGAGACAGACGACGCUGACAGAGAUGUUCUCUUGA